rnacentral:rRNA from 1 species
AGAGUUUGAUCCUGGCUCAGGAUGAACGCUAGCUACAGGCUUAACACAUGCAAGUCGAGGGGCAGCAUUUCAGUUUGCUUGCAAACUGGAGAUGGCGACCGGCGCACGGGUGAGUAACACGUAUCCAACCUGCCGAUAACUCGGGGAUAGCCUUUCGAAAGAAAGAUUAAUACCCGAUAGUAUAAUGAAACCGCAUGGUCUUAUUAUUAAAGAAUUUCGGUUAUCGAUGGGGAUGCGUUCCAUUAGGCAGUUGGUGAGGUAACGGCUCACCAAACCUUCGAUGGAUAGGGGUUCUGAGAGGAAGGUCCCCCACAUUGGAACUGAGACACGGUCCAAACUCCUACGGGAGGCAGCAGUGAGGAAUAUUGGUCAAUGGACGAGAGUCUGAACCAGCCAAGUAGCGUGAAGGAUGACUGCCCUAUGGGUUGUAAACUUCUUUUAUAUGGGAAUAAAGUUUUCCACGUGUGGAAUUUUGUAUGUACCAUAUGAAUAAGGAUCGGCUAACUCCGUGCCAGCAGCCGCGGUAAUACGGAGGAUCCGAGCGUUAUCCGGAUUUAUUGGGUUUAAAGGGAGCGUAGGUGGACAGUUAAGUCAGUUGUGAAAGUUUGCGGCUCAACCGUAAAAUUGCAGUUGAUACUGGCUGUCUUGAGUACAGUAGAGGUGGGCGGAAUUCGUGGUGUAGCGGUGAAAUGCUUAGAUAUCACGAAGAACUCCGAUUGCGAAGGCAGCUCACUGGACUGCAACUGACACUGAUGCUCGAAAGUGUGGGUAUCAAACAGGAUUAGAUACCCUGGUAGUCCACACAGUAAACGACGAAUACUCGCUGUUUGCGAUAUACAGUAAGCGGCCAAGCGAAAGCAUUAAGUAUUCCACCUGGGGAGUACGCCGGCAACGGUGAAACUCAAAGGAAUUGAC